CGGAAGCGGUAGUAUUUUGAAUUUUUCUCUGGACUUUCGUGAUAUUAGGCAGUUAUAAAUUCAUACUUCUUGGAAGUAUUUUAGCAAUACUGCAUUCACUAUCAAGUGGAUACCCAAGUCUCGGUAACUACUGUAAGUGAAAACUCAAUCCAGUCAACUCAAUCAUUGUAGUAGGAAAGCAUUAAUGUUUGUUUGAAGACGUAUCGGUGAAGGCCAGAAAAUUACCUGACUUACUAAAGCAAGAGUGAAACUCCGAGAAAUGUUAGUACAAGUCACAGUGAUUUAAUAUUUCAAACUAGAUUUGUUCAACGGCAUAAUUCAUACAAAUUUAGCUUGGUACCAUCGGACAAGAAAAGGCAUGGUUAUGGACAGUUUCUGCUGCAAUAUCACAAAGAAUGCUGGUUUAUGCACACCUGUAACACAAAUGGUUCUUGAAUAUUGUUUUAUAUAAUGAACUCUUGUAAUAGGACUACAUUACGAAAAAAACCGGACUGUAAAAGCAAAGAAAUGUAGAAUAGCCUUGAAUUUGAGGUACAGUAUGUUUAGUAGUAAGACAUUAGCAAAACGAUAAUAUAUGAAGGGGUAUGCUAGUAAAUGAGACCAUAGGGAAGCAAUGUCCCUGUCGUAUGAUGUUUGUUGAUGUUUUAAAUUAAAGAAAUUAUGGUUUGUA
rnacentral:lncRNA from 1 species